rnacentral:lncRNA from 1 species
UCCAGCACCGCAUCCCCAGCGGGCUCAGCAGCCGGUGUCUGGCACAGGCUGGCGGGGUGCCAGCUGUGACAGAGGGCUAUUGAAAAUUGCAAGAGCCUUUUUGUUCCCUACCAUGGCAUCUGGGAUCUACAGGAGAACCAUAAGGAAAUUUUGCUUUUUCAGCCUCCUUCAUCUGUGUAGAGAGAAUAAUCCUGAACUGUGUUUGACUCAUUUUAUUUGGAGACAUUCUUAGAUGUACACGUAUCCCUGUUUCAGCCUGAAGAGGUAUGGCAUUAUUAGAAGUAAGAUGCAAAGUAGAGCUACUUUUCAGAUUUUUUUCUCUUCCCCAGGCUGAAGUCAGCGAGAAGUUAUGGCCCAUGAGGAGGCAGUGGCAGAUGGAGGCAGGAGGGGGUGUGACAAGGUAGCAGCAGCAAUCUGCAAGAGAGGAGCAGUUUUCAAAGGAGAAUGGCACCUGGUCACAACCCAGAUGCCCUGGAAGAACAGCAACUUCUCCAUGUUGUGGCAAGUGAUUAUGUAUGCCACCAUUUGUUUCUGAACAGUAAGUAUGAAUAGAAAAUUUAGUUUCCUUUGGAGCCCCUGAUGAGGAAUUUUUACCUAAAGCUUUCUGAAAGCUGCAGAUGCUGUGAUAGAAGCUGAAUGACUCUUAGCACUUGGUCACAGUUCAUUUCACAGUGAUGUUCUUCCACUUGCUUUACCUGUCAGGAAUAGUUUUGGGGUAUAAAAGCUGAAAAGUCUUUUGCCUUUGAAUCUCAACAGAACCUCUUCAUUUGUUGAUAGGUAAUAAUGAGAUCAUUUUAGAUGUUUAUUGACAGGAAGAGGAUUUGUCUGUCUAAUAACUAACAUAGAGUAAUAGUUACAGUUCUUAAAUAUUUGCUUUAUUUUUGUGAAGUUGUCCCUCUGGCCUCUUUCAUCCAAGGAAUUAUUACCUUUGGCUUCAAUUACGUGGUCCCUUGGUAACUUCAAGUUGAUUUACAAAGGUUUUGUACAUGUAAAGGGCUGUAGCUCCCUAAGCAGAAGUGCAGCUGGUUUUUUUUCAGGUCUUUAUGAAUCCUACAGCUACCGAGAGCAAAUGCUACCAGCUUUGGGGAUAGUACAAAAUAGCUAGCAAAUCCACUGGUGUUAAUAGAGCUAUUGGUAUCUGUGGUAUUUCAUGUCUCAUGAGAUUAAGACUGCAAAGACUUGUUAAUUACACCUAUGUAUGUACCCCAAAUGAAGCCCCACACAAGAAAUUUGGAGGUUUCACCCAAACAUUGCUGCUGUUGGCAGGCACUGCAUUCUGCAGCCCUUUGAAACAUAUUUUAAAAAGAUAGGUCUUUGUCUCUCAGGCAGAUACAGCUCUGUCAGAGGAUGGAAAUGAUGAGAGGAGCAUCUCCACAGUCUGCAGCAUUCUCCAUGCAAAGUGAGACAGCGUGCCUUGCUGCUGGAAGGGCUGGGUUGAGUAUGCUGUGGGCCCUAGGCAAAAUACUGCCUCUGUUUCUUUAGUGUAAUUAAUUUAGAGGAAUUUUACUGAAAUCACUUUUAAAUUCAGACUUUUA